rnacentral:ncRNA from 1 species
UCCGAUAAAGGCAAACCAGUCGCGAGGCUGGGACGCAAAGCCACCGGUCAGCAAACGGGCUGACAGCGGGGUUACCGAAG